rnacentral:rRNA from 1 species
UACGUAGGGUGCGAGCGUUGUCCGGAAUUAUUGGGCGUAAAGAGCUUGUAGGCGGUUUGUCGCGUCUGCUGUGAAAAUCCGGGGCUCAACCCCGGACUUGCAGUGGGUACGGGCAGACUAGAGUGUGGUAGGGGGAGACUGGAAUUCCUGGUGUAGCGGUGAAAUGCGCAGAUAUCAGGAGGAACACCGAUGGCGAAGGCAGGGUCUCUGGGCCAACUACUGACGCUG